CCAUCUUAAAUGCAGGUUUAACAAGCUGGGUUUGGAUAAGGUCUCUGGUGCAGAGGAGCCCCCGUCUCACUGUCCGGUGGAGGAGGUCCACACGUUCCAGCCCAUCCAGUCGGCUCCUCUCAAUGUUGAGGAGAUUGUGUGUAUAGACAUCGGCACAGCACACUCUGUUGCAGUCACAGAGAAAGGUCAGUGUUUCACCUUCGGCAGUAACCAGCAUGGGCAGCUUGGCUGCAGUUCCCGCCGAAGCAGUCGAGUGCCCUAUCAAGUGUCAGGACUGCAGGGGAUCACCAUGGCAGCGUGUGGCGACGCAUUCACUCUGGCUAUUGGAGCAGAUUUUGGGAUGAAAUUUGAUCUGGCAACCAAACUAUAACAAACAACAGCACUUAAAUGAAUGGCAAUGCAGUUCAGACAAGGCUGCUAUCACGCCAUUAACUGCUUCAGUCACAGAAUGUGCUUUAGUGGGGGCAGGAUCUGACAUGCAAAGAAACAGAAGCACAAAGAUGUUAUUCAGCCAAAUGAUGUUCAGAAUUGUG